CAGCGCUUAAUUGCGCGGCGAAAAAACCUUACACACAGUGUUUUUUGUUAUUACAAGAACUUUUGCUUUGGUCUGGACUAGAAAUAGUUUGGGCCAGAGGUUUACUGAACUAAACUUCAAUAUUUAUAUUGAAUUGUUAUUUAUUUAAUUGUCAAUUUGUUGAUUAAAUUCAAAAAAUCUUCAAAACUUUCAACAACGGAUCUCUUGGUUCUCGCAUCGAUGAAGAACGCAGCGAAAUGCGAUAAGUAAUAUGAAUUGCAGAUUUUCGUGAAUCAUCGAAUCUUUGAACGCACAUUGCGCCCUCUGGUAUUCCAGAGGGCAUGCCUGUUUGAGCGUCAUUUCUCUCUCAAACCUUCGGGUUUGGUAUUGAGUGAUACUCUUAGUCGAACUAGGCGUUUGCUUGAAAUGUAUUGGCAUGAGUGGUACUGGAUAGUGCUAUAUGACUUUCAAUGUAUUAGGUUUAUCCAACUCGUUGAAUAGUUUAAUGGUAUAUUUCUCGGUAUUCUAGGCUCGGCCUUACAAUAUAACAAACAAGUUUGACCUCAAAUCAGGUAGGAUUACCCGCUGAACUUAAGCAUAUCAAUAGCCGGAGGA
rnacentral:rRNA from 1 species